rnacentral:rRNA from 1 species
AUUGAACGCUGGCGGCAGGCCUAACACAUGCAAGUCGAACGAGUGGCGGACGGGUGAGUAAUGUCUGGGAAACUGCCUGAUGGAGGGGGAUAACUACUGGAAACGGUAGCUAAUACCGCAUACCAUCAGAUGUGCCCAGAUGGGAUUAGCUUGUUGGUGGGGUAACGGCUCACCAAGGCGACGAUCCCUAGCUGGUCUGAGAGGAUGACGAGCCACACUGGAACUGAGACACGGCCCAGACUCCUACGGGAGGCAGCAGUGGGGAAUCUUCGGCAAUGGACGAAAGUCUGACCCAGCAACGCCGCGUGAGUGAAGAAGGUUUUCGGAUCGUAAAACUCUGUUGGUAGGGAAGCGGUAUCUAAACAGGAAGCCCCGGCUAACUACGUGCCAGCAGCCGCGGUAAUUC